AUUAGACUCCACUAUGACUCCCGGCCAUCCAGCCAGUUCUUCACCCAAUAAAGUGUACACCUGUCCAUGCCAGGAGCAGUCAGUUUCUCCAAGAGAAUACUGUGACAACCAUUAUCCAACACUUCACUAAAAUCCAGAUGAGGCCUGAGAGAAGGAAACCCAUGCUGACUUCUUUUCCAAAUGGGCUUUGACAUAUACCCAAAGAAACAAUGCACUUGAUUCCACUUGACUAAUUUAGAACAAUGAGAAAUACAGAAGAAAAGACAAAACUGUUCACUGGUGGCUGUCAUGUUUAUAUCAUAUUCAAACCAUUAACUGUACAUGGAUGCCCGCUGUACUUUUGCCUUCCUCACUGGCCCAGUCUUCACUGUCACAUAGUUUUUUCAGUGAGCUGUUGUGCACAUUAAAAAGUCAUGUAGUACUAUCUUACCUUCAGAUGCCUGUUAUGUCUGUGAGCCAAAUAUUUUAAAACUAAAAUGUCAGAAUUUC